UGGGCUUACUAAAUUGUCUCCCAGUUAAUCAACCAUCUUAUGCCAUCAUGGUCUGUUACCCUGCCUCACCUAAACUGUUCCUUGUUUUUUUUUUAAUUAAUUAAUUCAAAAUAACUUUAAAGUGCUUUUUUCUUACAUUUUCAGACCACCAAUGUGUUUCAUCUCUAAAUGAAAUCUAUCAUCAGAGUUGAGACUGAGGAGGGAUCCUUGACCAGUUAAACUUAUCAUUGCCAAUACGUGAAACUAGCAGGGCACACAAAAAUGAUCUCUGCACUGAGUUGUACAGGCUACACAACAAAUUCAAGACCAGAAGACAAAAAGGCAGUGGAUGUAGUCAUUCUCUGGAAAAAUUAAGACACCGAUGUCUUUGAGCUAAAAAUCAAAAGUUAUCAGUCAGAGUAGAAGAAGCUUAAGGUUAAAUUGAUUCUGGAUAAUACCUGAGGAACACUAAAGCCCUGGCUUUCCUUCAGGAGGGAAAAAAAACAUUUGCCUUCAGAAUUCAGUAAAGCAGAAGCCUGACACCCCUGUAACACAGAAUCUGGUAAACUCUCAUUAUAGAUACAUAGGCCAUUUACCCAAGAUAGCAGAAAGUUAAUACCGG
rnacentral:lncRNA from 1 species